rnacentral:siRNA from 1 species
UGGGAAGAGUUUUCAGUGUUGU